rnacentral:rRNA from 1 species
AUUGAACGCUGGCGGCAGGCUUAACACAUGCAAGUCGAGCGGAGAUGAGGUGCUUGCACCUUAUCUUAGCGGCGGACGGGUGAGUAAUGCUUAGGAAUCUGCCUAUUAGUGGGGGACAACAUUCCGAAAGGAAUGCUAAUACCGCAUACGUCCUACGGGAGAAAGCAGGGGAUCUUCGGACCUUGCGCUAGUAGAUGAGCCUAAGUCGGAUUAGCUAGUUGGUGGGGUAAAGGCCUACCAAGGCGACGAUCUGUAGCGGGUCUGAGAGGAUGAGCCGCCACACUGGGACUGAGACACGGCCCAGACUCCUACGGGAGGCAGCAGUGGGGAAUAUUGGACAAUGGGGGGAACCCUGAUCCAGCCAUGCCGCGUGUGUGAAGAAGGCCUUAUGGUUGUAAAGCACUUUAAGCGAGGAGGAGGCUACUGAGACUAAUACUCUUGGAUAGUGGACGUUACUCGCAGAAUAAGCACCGGCUAACUCUGUGCCAGCCGCCGCGGUAAUAC